CCUACGGGCGGCAGCAGUGGGGAAUAUUGGACAAUGGGGGGAACCCUGAUCCAGCCAUGCCGCGUGUGUGAAGAAGGCCCUCGGGUUGUAAAGCACUUUCAGUGAGGAAGAACGCCUGGUGGUUAAUACCCAUCAGGAAAGACAUCACUCACAGAAGAAGCACCGGCUAACUCCGUGCCAGCAGCCGCGGUAAUACGGAGGGUGCGAGCGUUAAUCGGAAUUACUGGGCGUAAAGCGCGCGUAGGUGGCUUGAUAAGCCGGUUGUGAAAGCCCCGGGCUCAACCUGGGAACGGCAUCCGGAACUGUCAAGCUAGAGUGCAGGAGAGGAAGGUAGAAUUCCAGGUGUAGCGGUGAAAUGCGUAGAGAUCGGGAGGAAUACCAGUGGCGAAGGCGGCCUUCUGGACUGACACUGACACUGAGGUGCGAAAGCGUGGGUAGCAAACAGGAUUAGAUACCCUAGUAGUC
rnacentral:rRNA from 1 species